GCGUGCGUCACCCUGAGGCGAGGCCGGAGCGGGCACGAGGGCGCGCGGGGAUAGCAGUGCGCAUGCGCGGCGGGCUCUGAGGGAGAGGCGGGAGGUUCCCUCCCGGUACCGUUCCGUGUGCCCGGUGAGGCGGCCCAGCCUGGGGCCGCCGGUCCGUGCAUCAGCUGCCGCGGUGGUACUGAUACCGAGAGAUGUUUGUCCAGAUGUUCUACCUCAUGCGAAAACUGAUCUGGUCCUGUUCCCCAGCAAAAAGGGCUGAAAAGCUAAACAGCAGCCUGGAGCGUGGAGGUUCGAAGUGUUUUUGAGUGACGCUUGCAAAUCUGACUUUUAAACUACCUUUAGAACAAAAUGACUCCUUUUAUGUGGUAAAAGAGUAAGCAUAAACUGUGGAACUGUGGAAACUCCUGCUUCUCAUCACCCAGGAUGCUGAGUACAUAGCAGCGUAUAGCAGAAGGGCAGGCAGUCACCGCUUCUUUCAGAAGGUUCCCCUGCUUAUCUGGAUGGUUUUACCACAAACCCAUGCAAAGAUUUUCUCUUCAUCACUGUUGCACAAAGGGCACAACUGAGGAUCCAAGACCACCACCACUCAGUGCUUCUUCUGACUCGAUUUUCAGUGAGGAAGGUCAAUUGGAGAUCUUAUGGCUCUUAUUACAGCACCCAGCCUCUGUUAAAAGGUUUUCUUUGUGAUAUGUCUUCUGUGUUUUUCUGCCAGAAAGAUUACCUCAUGUAUCCGUAUAAAAUGAAUGAAUUAAAAACAAGCACAGGAGGUGGAUUUAUCACACUGGUUUAUCUGAAGGUUUAGUGUGAAGCUGCUUCUCCUAAAAUCUAUUGUGGUUUUUUUACAGCAGCCACAGCAGUUAUGUCCCUUUUCAAGAAAAACAAUUAAUUCUUUUUUUCCAUUUGUCACUGCUACCAUAUUAUUUCUCUGACGGUCUCAAACAAUACAGCAGCACAUUUCAUCUGCUCAGAGUAUAGGAAAUUUUAAAAAUACUGUAAAAAAAAUGAAUGAAUGCUGUAAGAAAUAAAAAAACAUUGGCGAGUGAGGAAGAAAGAAUGUGUAAUUCUAAGGGAAUACAAUUAUUUUUCCUUCCCACACUCUUGCACAAAAGGCAUCACAUGACAGUUCCCUGCUUUUGGCAUUAGUCAGCUGCUGUAUUAGCUUCUAACAUUUGUUGAUAAUUUUCUCUCAUUUGUGCCUGUGUAUAUAAAUCUGGUUAUUUACAUGAAAAAAUGUGCUGCCAGUAAAUAUUGUUAUGUCCCUGAAGAGCUACAUUGUGUUAGCCUUCUGAUAUUUAUAUGUCCACAUACAACUAAUCAGCUUCAGUGGAACGUAAACAGUAGAUGUCUGUUAGCCUCCUUCUGAAGGUCAGUGGACAAAAUAAAAAGCAUCAAGGUCACCUGAAGCAGUUUCAAGCUGUUUUAUGCCAUAGUUUAUCCUAUUUCUCUAUAUACUUUUUUUUUUCUUUUGGUGAGGAUCUGAACUGAUGGCACUUACAGGCAAGAGAUUUGUUUGUGAACAAGUUAAUUGUGAUGCUGCCUGCUGUGCAUACAUAUAGUUCAUAUUAAGCUUUCUUUCACCCUAAAUUUGCAUUCCUUGUUUUAAUCAUUACUGUAAUAAGCAUCUGCAUAAAAAGAAUGCUAGAAAAGAAAUUAGGAAAUGUACUUGCAAUCAUAGUAUGAUCCUCUUUAUAAUAACAUCUUUAAUUCGUGUAGCAUGACCAAUGCAAUUCCUGUCCACUGGCCUUGUAGUUUAUUCAGCUCUUAGUAUGCAAUGAGAAAGAAUUCUGUAAUUAAUGAAGCUGAUCCCCACAGAAUUCCUACCAAAAAUAUAUGUGUAUAUUUAGAAUCAUAUUUAAUACUGCUACUUUGUUGGUAUCUGAGAACUAGCCAACUUGGGAUAUUCUGAUUCUGUGAUUCUAUUCCUAUAUUUAUACUGUAUCAAUGCUGCUAAAUUUCGAGGUCUCUUCCUUUCAAUUACCUGUCCUACCUGGUCUUACGUGGCUUUGAUGCAUGCAGGGGUACCGUGGUGGAGCUUCAGUGCUUGUCAUUACCGACAGGAGCAGCGAAGUUGAGAGUGUAAAAACAAAGUCUCUGUAAUUCUGCACUGGGGAAAUGAUCAAAUUAACCCCCCAGACUGGCUCUCGAAAAGUAAAAUAAAUCCCUUUAUGACAAGUAAUAAUUUACUCCUCUCAAACCUUUCACCACUAAGCAGAACUCAGACACUACAUAAACAUAUGUACAUCUUGGAUUAAUUAUACAUGCCUUCAAAUUCCCCUACAAGUAAUUCAGCACAAGGAUAAUGCAAGAACACACUAAAUAUUCUGAUGGUUGACAUUAGAAAAUGUAACCUCUUGUUCAAGGGAAGCUGGAUUUAUUACGAGUGUAGCUUUUGCAUGUUGUAGGUGACACACUAGGAAAUUCUUUCAGACUGGGUAUGUGCCAAAGCAGUCCUGAGCAAAAGCUGUAUUAGGGCCUUAUACAAAGUGAAGUCCUGUCCUUAGCCUGCUGAACUGUGGAGUUCAUUGUCAUGGGAUGCUUUUGACAGAAAAAGUGAUGGGGAAUAGGGCCAGCACUGGCUUUGAAAUUCAGUGGUUAGUUUGAUUUCCAGUUAUUUGUUAGUUUUAGGUGGAAGGAAGGAUCAUCUAUAGUUAUCCAUCUGCCAGACCAGUCAUCUCUGACUAACCGUUAUUGGGACUGGUUGUUAGGUCUGCAGUACCUUUGUUCUGACCCACUUCAAGCUCCAUGAAUUACUCUAGUCAGAGUUCAGAGCAUCUAAAUACCAUAGGUGCCAUUUUCAUGCUUUGUCCUAUACCACUGCUAUUCGUAAGCAAGUCCUAGAAGAACUUACUAGCUGGUACGUAUAUAAUCAUCUCUCUUUAAUAAGUUUUAAAUCACUCUUCCCAAUUACCAAAUGCCUGUGAGUACAAGUGUUGCAAGAUUUCCUGAGUAAUGCUUCUCUGUCUGUUUUAUUGGCUACUUUGUGAUUUUGUAAACCUUGAGCUCAUCUUUCUUCAGUCUUCUCCAAAUUAAGGCAUCAAAGUCCUGCUGGUCUCUCCUCCAAAAUCAGCCUGCUUCAUCCCCGUGAUCACAUUAAAUACCUUUUCUCUGUAUCUGCUCAAAUUUUACUGUCCUUUUCAUGCUCACACUCUGGUCUUCACAUCUCAAAAUCUGGACUCACAAAUGCUUUUCAUAGCAGAAAAAUGGUGCCUUUUUAUCCUCUCUAAUACAUUUCAUUGUUUUUAUUGUUUGGGGUGUUUUUUUUUCUGGGGGGGGGGGCUGCUACAUCAUAAUAUAUUGAAGGUACCCCUAAUUUUAGGCAUAAAAAAAUAAAAUUCCCUCUUAUUCAGUAUGUUUCUCAAGUGGUUUAUCAUCAUAUUAAAAAAAAUGUACAUGUAGUUUUGCAUUUAAAAUUUUAUAUGUUUAAUAUUCAAACUGUGGUUGGUUGUUGUUUUUUUUUAAGUGCUCUACCUACUGCUUUCUCCUGUCACUGUCAAUGAGUGUAUACGUUAUUUGUGCAUAAUGUACACAAUGCUUCUGAGCUGUCAUUUUAGCACAGGAUCUAAUGCUAACAGGAGAGCAAUCCUGGGCUUAGCUACCAGGAUGCAGAGAUCCUUCAAAACAAUGCACAAGAAAAACCAGCUUCUCCUGCAUGUUUGGUUUUGUUCUUAGGAAAGUACUAAACCUAAGAAAGCAGAGCUUUGGUUCUCGUAAUGAGCCAGUUUGCUUCAAGAUUCAAUAUACAUUUUUUCUUGUUGGCUUCUAAAGUGAGUAGAAUGAGUACUGUGUAGUCGAAUAAAUGAGACAAAACUGUCUAUCACUGGAACCAAGGCAGGAGAAAAGAAGAAAAAAAAUCAGCCUUUGGAAUAAGUGUAUAUAAAUAUUUGUUUCAGCUAAAAUAUAUUACUUUGCUACUAACUUUAAUCAAACAAACAUGUUUUGGAUCAUUCUUGGGGAGAUGUUUUGCUGCAUUCAUUGAUAGCUCUCAAAGGGCCAAGGUAGGAGAAGCAUCUGUGUAAGUUUGCAGAUUUUCAUUGACAUAAUGUGGUUUCUGUGCACUGGUAACAUUGAUUCUGGUGGUAACAAUUACAUUUUUUUCACGUAGUAGAAAAAAAUUAGUUUCAAAAUACCUGAUUUUGUAAAACAUUUGGCCCUGACAUUACCUUAAUGUGGAAAGAAAUGUCUCUGAAUGUUGAUUAUGUCAUACAUAAGACUUAAAAUGCCAGAUGUAUGAAUCUAGAUAAAAGUACUCUCUGUGACGUAAGACGUGAGCCAACCAUGUUGUAGCAGUUGUGAAAUAGGUGAUUUCCAUAUCAGGAG
ensembl:lncRNA